rnacentral:lncRNA from 1 species
GUGAUUCUUCAGGGGAUAAUUUUCCGGAUAACGUAAAAACCGUACCGUAAUUUUUUGUACAAUGACGUCAUAAUCUUAUAUAAAAGCCAGUUACUAUCUUAUGCAAUUUUGAAGGUCUAACACCUUUAUUAUAUCUCCAAACUUUUUUUAAAAAAUAAAGAGAAAAAGAUACCAAAAUAAGUUGGCAGUUAGCUCAUUUUUCCCAGCUGUAGAAAAAUAGAGACUGAUUGAUAUAUACAAGAAUAGCUACUAGGCUCCAUUAUCCAAUGAAAACCUGAAUAGAUCUCAAAUUUUAAAAGCUAAAAGGAAGUCAAUAAACUAUUUUUAUAUUUGUACAAUGUAAUAGGGUGGAUAUUAUUAAGUCAUGGAUCAUAUUAUUCAAUUAUGUGAUGCAAUGCUCCUCUCAAAACAAGAACUAUAAUUGAGUUAAAACUAAAUUAAUUCAAUUUAAUAUCAAUUUAUCACUAGUGUUGUGUGAGUCAUUAUUUAUUUUGUCCAAUCCAGUCUUAGUACCGGUCCUUCGGACUCCCAUACUAAAAUUGAUUAAAAAAGAAGAAAUAAAAUUGAGUCACGUCAUCAAGGACCAAAUUUUAUCAGUUUUAGGACUGAUAUGCAGGACUGAAAUGGACCGGACCGAGACUGAACUGGACGUACGUCUUCAUUCCUAAAUAAGGCUCGAAUCAACACUAUUUAUUAGCAAAGGAAAAUCCAUACUUUUUCAUAAAUACGUGACUCAUUAUUUGAAAUGAAGACAAAUUUUCACCUGCGUCUCUUUUUGCAUCAAAGUGCAGUGGAACGGGCUCUUCAUUUACUCAUCUAUGAAAAAGAGACACUUGAUCGCUAACAAUUGUAAAAAUGGAUAUUAGAAGAUAAAAGAGUUUUAAUAAAUACUUCGUGAUUAGCCAAUUCAACCAUAACUUAUGUGUAUAUAUCUUGUACCUAAUCUUAAUUGGGACAAAAUAAUCAAUAUUGACAUUGCAUAGAGUAGGUUAUUAUUUAUUCUCCAUGUUUCAUUAAGAUAAAUACAAAAUAAGAUCAUAAUGUCACUUGACAUUUAGUUACAUCUUGUCAAAAUAUAUGGAAACCCUAUUUGGGAUCCGGAUGAUUGAUCCAUCUUCGUAUCAAGGAGUAGAGAGCAGUAUGAGGAAUGGAUUCUGGAAAUGAUCAAGACGUCUCGGAUAUUUAUGUAUUUGUCUUUAUCUUCCUUCUUCCAGAGUGUCUCUGAGUAAUCUCACGAAUGUUUCAUCCUUAUUUAUAUUUUAUAUGAAUCAUAUUGUUAAACACUUAGAAAGCACUUUUUAACACUUGUAUAUGUUAAUUAUUCUAUAUAUAUUAGCAGGUGAAGACGAGGAAGUGUGGCUGUACAGGUGGAUAUAAGGAGGAGAAGGUUGUCUUUGGUCAAUGAUAACAUCUUGAUAUAUUUAAAUACGUGGAGAAGGAAUAUUCAAUAAUAAUAAUAAAAAACAAUAAUAAGAAUAUUAGUCCUCACUCUAAAAUAAUGACUCCACUAGCUAUGAUUAUAGCAAGUGAUCCCUACUUGACUGCAGAUGUAUUCUUUCUAAGCCCUAUGUCAACAUGUUUUUUUUUUUUUUUACUCUCUCGCUCACAUCAUUUGUAAUCGAUCAAUACAUACAAUUCGAUCUAUGUAGGAUGCCUCAUCAUAAUAUAUGUAAGUUGAAUUACAUCACAUUUACUCUCAAUCAGUAUGCCGUUCACAGUGAGUACCUGGUUACAUGACCAUAAUAUAUGCAAAUUUUAGGAAAUAAAAUUAAAAAGCUUCCACUUUCAAUUUUAGUCAAUCACUACUUAUUUGAUGUAGGCACCUAUGUAGACAGUGGGAACCUAAAACUUGCAGUAGCAUUUAAUUACGAUUUCAAGGACCUUCUUUUUAAUUACAAGGAUUUAUUAUGCAACCCAACGUGAGCUGAAACAGAAAUAAACCAGUGUUGUUUUUACCCCAUGUCCCUAAGUAUAAAAAUGUC